AGUGUGUUUAGACAUGACGCUAAUGGAGACUCAUUAACAAUGCCAAAGGUACCUGACCAAGCGUCCGUAUUUUACGCAGUGGGAGUGAGAAUGUGUGUGUUAUAUUGUAGGUCUGUC